rnacentral:rRNA from 1 species
AACAAACGCUGGCGGCAUGCCUAACACAUGCAAGUCGAACGAACCCUUCGGGGUUAGUGGCGCACGGGUGCGUAACGCGUGGGAAUCUGCCCUUUGCUUCGGAAUAACAGGUAGAACUGACUGCUAAUACCGGAUGAUGUCUUCGGACCAAAGAUUUAUCGGGAAGGGAUGAGCCCGCGUAGGAUUAGGUAGUUGGUGGGGUAAAGGCCUACCAAGCCGACGAUCCUUAGCUGGUCUGAGAGGAUGAUCAGCCACACUGGGACUGAGACACGGCCCAGACUCCUACGGGAGGCAGCAGUGGGGAAUAUUGGACAAUGGGCGCAAGCCUGAUCCAGCAAUGCCGCGUGAGUGAUGAAGGCCUUCGGGUCGUAAAGCUCUUUUACCAGGGAUGAUAAUGACAGUACCUGGAGAAUAAGCUCCGGCUAACUCCGUGCCAGCCGCCGCCGUAAGAC